CCGACAGACGCAACUUGACAGUUGAGAGGCAAUAGAAAAAGUCUAUUGCCCCUCAACUCCAGAUGGCACUAGCUACGGGGAUGGAUCGGCCUUGGGGCCUUCUGACUGUUUUUUCUUUUUUUUAUUAUGUGAUACCUUCGUCCUGUAGCCUGAUAUUCACUGCUUGUAUUCACGUUUUUUUCCCUUAGUUAUUUUAUUGAGGUAAAAUCUUUCAGUGGGUACUAAUUGCAAAUGCAUUCUUUUCUUCAGAGUCGUGUGUGUCAUAAGAUGAUGCUUUUUUGGUAUUAUUUAGAUUUUUUUGAUAGUUUUAAAUGAUAAAUGUCAUUUCAAAUGACAUUGAUUGAUGACAAAUAUGGUACCUAAAGCAUCAUCUUAUGACACAUUGACACGCACGAUUCUGGAGAAAUAAAUGCGUUUGCAAUAACUACAGAAGGAUUUUAUCUCAAUAAAAUAGCUAACAAAAAAAAACAAACCUGAAUAUCAGCGGAAAGAUUGCAAGAAGGUUUCACAUAAUAACGAAAAGAAAAAAAAAGGUUAGAAGUUUACCCUUCUCCGUUACUAGUGUCCUCUGGAGUUGAGGGGCAAUAGACUUUUCUUUUUAUUUUGUCGUUGUUUUGUAGCUUCUUACCCCCAUUGAAGAAUUGAUAAUGCAUAUCAGUCUGUGUGUCAGCAAGGUUUUUAAUAAUCUUGUCGUCAAAGAAGAAUCGUGGUAUGGCUUAUUAAAAAAGGUGCUACAGAAUCAAAUCAAUAGGAACAGUAAUGUGACAGUCAAGUUAGUGGAUUUAGCUGAGCUAGAGCUACUAAAAGAAGAAAACCAAAGACUGCAAAAGAAAUAAUAUUAAAAAUGGGGAAACCACCAUAUUGCAAAGAAAUCUCCAAACUGUUUAGGCAGCUAUGUGGAAAAGAGAGAUUGAAGUGUAUCAGCAGCUAGCCUCCUUAAAAGAAAAAGAAUUAGAUUUCAAGGAGUUACAUAACAAGUGCAAGAAGAUUGAACAAAAUGUGAAAGAGCAACAGAAGAAUAAAAGACUUCCAACCUCCACCCAAGAAUCAUCAAGCAAAAGAAAAUUCUUAAACAGAUCCUCUUUUGAAAUGGCUGAAUUUGAGGUGAAAAUUCUACAGUCAAAGCAGGAAUUCAGACUGACUCUAGUAAACGAUUCCGUCUAAAUUCGACAGUCACUGAACAUAAUAUUUAUUUCUUUCUUUUUCCGUCCGGAGCUUACAAAAGCUGAUUGGUUCUGACAGCUAUUUCUAAUUCAACUGUUAUGGAGCUUUAAAAACUACAAAUGAUUUCCGGUGGGGUCCAAGAAAAUUUUAUAGACCUAUUCCAUGGCAGUGAAUAUGGUAUAGCCGAAAUGGACUACACAGUUUCCCGAUAUGGAUUCUAUAAAAAAUGUGUUUUUUACCGUUACCCUUUUACAACGACCAGUGGACCGACGCACCGACCGACACUUUUUCUGAGAUUUAACCCCAUAGAUGGCACUGUGUUCGGAGUGUCGGCACUAAUCUCUCUCUCAGGAGCAGUGUUUCCUAUCUUUUUUUUAAGUCCAAAAAGAUAAGAUAAGUUACUUCACCUCCAUUUUUUGAAAAGAUAAGAUAAGGUAAUGGGAAAAAAUGAGUUGAAAAGAUAAGAUAAAGAUAAGAUACCGAUAAGAUACAAGAUACUUUCAAAGAUACAUGUUUCAAAAAACAAUAUGAAAGAAGCGUAGCAAAGUUUAGAAAUCAUUUAGUCAGUGUUGUUUGCUAAAUUUCUGUAUUUUUUCCAUUACAUGGUGAGCAUAUUGAUGAAAUGGAAACGAAACGAGAAAAUGAAAUGUUUCAUCAAAAAAUAUAAUAAACCAAUUAACAAAAGUU